UACAGAGGUCUCAAGCGUUGUUCGGAUUCAUUGGGCGUAAAGGGUGCGUAGGCGGCGCGGUAAGUCGGGUGUGAAAUCCCGGAGCCUAACUCCGGAACGGCAUUCGAAACUGCAUAGCUCGAGGUCUGGAGAGGUGACUGGAAUUCUCGGUGUAGCAGUGAAAUGCGUAGAUAUCGAGAGGAACACCAGAGGCGAAGGCGAGUCACUGGACAGAACCUGACGCUGAGGCACGAAAGCUAGGGGAGCAAACGGG
rnacentral:rRNA from 1 species